rnacentral:rRNA from 1 species
UUUCGCAAUGCCCGAAAGGGUGACGAAGCGACGCCGCGUGGGUGAGGAAGGCCCUCGGGUUGUAAAGCCCUGUCAGGAGUUAAGAAAUGUAAGUGUGUUAAUACCACAUUUAUUUGACGAAGGCUCCAAAGGAAGCCACGGCUAACUCUGUGCCAGCAGCCGCGGUAAUACAGAGGUGGCAAGCGUUGUUCGGAAUUAUUGGGCGUAAAGAGCACGUAGGUGGGUUUGUAAGUCAGAUGUGAAAGCCUCCUGUUCAACGGGAGAAUUGCAUCUGAAACUACUGAUCUUGAGUAUAGGAGGGGAGAAUGGAACUUCUGGUGGAGCGGUGAAAUGCGUAGAUAUCAGAAGGAACGCCGGCGGCGAAAGCGAUUCUCUGGCCUAUUACUGACACUCAGUGUGCGAAAGCUAGGGGAGCAAACGGGAUUAGAUACCCCGGUAGUCCUAGCCGUAAACGAUGGGCACUAAGUAGAGGGGUUUU